AUUGAACGCUGGCGGCAUGCUUUACACAUGCAAGUCGAACGGCAGCAUAGGUGCUUGCACCUGAUGGCGAGUGGCGAACGGGUGAGUAAUAUAUCGGAACAUGUCCGGAAGUGGGGGAUAACGUAGCGAAAGUUACGCUAAUACCGCAUAUGCCCUGAGGGGGAAAGGGGGGGAUCGCAAGACCUCUCGCUUUCGGAGUGGCCGAUAUCGGAUUAGCUAGUAGGUGAGGUAAAGGCUCACCUAGGCGACGAUCCGUAGCUGGUCUGAGAGGACGACCAGCCACACUGGGACUGAGACACGGCCCAGACUCCUACGGGAGGCAGAAGUGGGGAAUUUUGGACAAUGGGCGCAAGCCUGAUCCAGCCAUGCCGCGUGAGUGAAGAAGGCCUUCGGGUUGUAAAGCUCUUUCAGCCGGAAAGAAAUCGUACUUAUUAAUACUAAGUGCGGAUGACGGUACCGGAAGAAGAAGCACCGGCUAACUACGUGCCAGCCGCCGCGGUAAUAC
rnacentral:rRNA from 1 species